rnacentral:lncRNA from 1 species
AGCUCUAGAAACUCUUUAUAAUCAGUCUGACAGUACAAAUUUUGAUUUUCUUAAGCAAUUAAUUACUUGGAAGCAAUUAAUUUUUACUUGAACAAAUUUGGCAUGUUUGAUUAACUUUCAAUGUUUAGCAGGAAGCCAGGAACCAUCAAAUAGCUCAAAGGACAUGCAUGAAGCAUGAAAUUAUGAUGUGUAUAAAAUAUAGUAUAAGGUUUUUAAUGUCAUCAUUUGUGCAGAUUCCAGUACUGCAGUUACUUUGUUUUUAUGCCUACAGAGUUGGAAAAAAUUAUAAUUAUAGCACAUUGGUAACAUUUUACAAAAGCAAGAGAUUAGAGCUAGAUGAAGAUUGAAGAUAUAGAGUGGAACCUGAACAAGCGUCCAGUUUCCGAGUCACCUGAAAGAUAGUUCUGCAUUAUAGGACCACUAUGUUGUUGAAGUGAGGUGCAGUGUCCAUAGAACAACUAUUUGAGUACAUAUAUGUGUGUUCCGUAGGAGCCAUUAUCAGCUUCAUAAAGUUGCAGAAUCUGAUGAACAUCUGCAGAAGAUAAUAUGAUAUAUUAAAAUUUACUAGAUUAUCUAGUAAAUCCUCAUAACUUCUCUUUUAAUUUCACAAAAAUAUGAAACCAAUCCAAACAAAACGUACUGAGUGUAUCCACUCGUAGAAUGGGGUAUUAUAGUUUGGCAUCUGUGGCCAGUGGCCACUGUUUUAAGAUGGAAAUGAUGUGUUUACAACAACAUCCAGAAAUUUAUUCAGUUCCAGUUGACUAUAGUUGACUAGUUGUGGCAGCUCUUGUUAUCAACUUCGUGCCAGACCGGAAGCUAUAUCAUUAGGAGAGGACAUUGUCGGAAGGACAUGUAUGAAACACGACAUUAUGCAGUGUGGAAGAAACAGUAAGAAGUUUGUAAGAUCACCAUCUCGACUCACUCAGAUGCAUAUUCCAUGUUGUUAUGCCUUCAAUGUUUAUAUAUACAAAAAACUCCAGCAGAUAGAAAAUUGGUAGCACUCUCCGGCUUACAAACAUAUAUGAAACAACACUAUGUCAUCUGUAUGACACGGGGCAAAUCUCUUCUAAAUUAUCAUUACUCUGGCAUUCAUAUUUAUGCUAGAGUAGAGUACCUUUCUUGGCUGGAAUGCUGGAGUGAAGUUUUAUGAUACAUGAUUCUAAACAAAACAUACAAAGUAUAUCCGCUUAGCUUACAGCCUUACACACUUACCAGCAGUUCUAGAGCAGAGGGAUUGUUUAUGUUAACUCGUGACACUCACUUUAAUCAGGUUUCAUAGAACUAUGUUUCAGAAAUUUGUAUGGUGUAUAUGUAUGCUAUAGAGUGUUUAUACAGCCAUCAAUUUUCCCGUCGUUGGAUCAUUGAUCCAAUGGCUGGGAUUAAAAAUUCUAAUUCCACUAUCAGAACAAAAUUUUAGCCAAACUUCCUUGUAGCAAAAUUUUUGUGCUGGUAGGGGGAGCAUAUUUUUAAUUCCAGCCUUUGGAUCCCAACACAUAUUAUUUUACCAAUGGAUGUUUUAGUUUGCAUUAUAGAGUAUUUUAAACAUACACUCAACAAUUCAGUAUCUUCAUGUUCUGUACUUUAAUAUAUAUAGUCCUCCAUAGCAAAUUACAUGGCAGCUGUGGAGUACAGUAAUAAAAAGAGACUCUUAUUACAUAUAAUGUUUUCAGUCAUACAAAUAAAAUUAGUUCUUCUGAAUACAAUUUCACUCAGUUUCCAAAGAGACUCACACUCUCAUAGUGUUUUCAGCUUAAGCUAAACAACAGUCACCUGGUUGAGAACUGGCAUAGCAACUUAAGCCUUUGUGCUCCUCCAGGCUUUGUAAGUAGAUCAAUAGGCAAUUAGCACCAAAAAAAAAAAAAGUAGAUCAAUAGGCUGAUUAUAUGCAGAAACAUAGAGAGAUUUAUGAUAAAAUCGAAUCUAUGGAUCAUUAACGAAUCGAGGAUCGCAAACGAUGAUUCGAUUGAUGACGAAGAAAGAAUUUAGUUCAAUUAUCUAAGACAGAAAAAGAAUUUUUAUCGAUUGAUGAUAAAAAGAAUUUUUAUCGGUUGAGGACCAAUUCUAUAAAAAGAUGUCUUAGUCAAUUUAAUAAAAGAUGUCUUAAUGAAAAGAAAAGAGAAAAUUAAGAUAGAGUAAUUAAGAGUGCACUAUAAAUAAUUAUAAUAAUAACCUCAUUAGUAUGAUCUCAUUAUAGUUGUUAUGAUCAUUCGGCACAUAACCCAAAUUGAAAAACGAUCCAGAAAUGAAACGUACCUGGGGAAUUAGUUGGAUGAGAGCAGAGGAAAGUUCCCUCGUAUGAAAACUGAUGAGGUAGUGUGGAUAUCUUACUUAUAUGCAGGAGUGGUUUUGGAUUGGUUGAGUUAGCAAAGCUGCUGCUUUGUCUUUCAGCUUCAGGAAGUUCUGUAAAAUUAGCACACGAAAACACACAUAUUUUAUGGGUGAAAGAGCACAUAUUCACACUCUCCGACAUAAUUUCAUUUCUUUAUAACAUAUAAA